UUCCGGUAUCGACAGGAGUUCGAGAUCGCUGCGGCCGGCCAUGCGGGUGCGGAUCUGCAGCCCGGUGGUGCCGUGUUCGCCAUCGAUGA
rnacentral:tRNA from 1 species